ensembl:lncRNA
GGAUGCAAGAAGCACAGGGUACCGUCCAGGGGGAAACACACCUUAACAGGCCGAGAAGGAGGUGGGGUGCGUUCCUAUUGAGGCAACAACCUGUGCAAAGGCCUGGAGGCAGAAAAGACUGGUCUGUUGAGGAAAAGAACUGAGCCUUUCUACGGUCCUCAAGCCCAGAGUUUCCAAAAUACUUGUCUUGGCCACUGUAUCUUUGGUUCAAGAUGAUGCCACUGUGGAACCAGAUGCAACUUGACUCUGCAGACUGAGACCCAGGGAGGGGGAAACAACCUCCCGUCACCCAGAAAAUCAGAGUCUAAGGUCAACGGCUAUUUCCCUGGGCUGUCCCAUAGAGUGGCAGGAUAGAGGCUCGAAGGGUGGUGGGAGCAGCCUCUGGGUGACUGUGG